rnacentral:rRNA from 1 species
AGCAGCCGCGGUAAUUCCAGCUCCAAUAGCGUAUAUUAAAGUUGUUGCAGUUAAAAAGCUCGUAGUUGAAUUUCGGGGUCAGUAGGUUGGUCGUGCCACUGGUAUGCACUGGUCUCACUGAUUCCUCCUUCCUGAUGAACCGUAAUGCCAUUAAUUUGGUGUUGCGGGGAGACUGGACUGUUACUUUGAAAAAAUUAGAGUGUUUAAAGCAGGCUAACGCUUGAAUACAUUAGCAUGGAAUAAUGAAAUAGGACGUUCGAUCUUAUUUUGUUGGUUUCUAAGAUUGACGUAAUGAUUAAUAGGGAUAGUUGGGGGCAUCAGUAUUCAAUUGUCAGAGGUGAAAUUCUUGGAUUUAUUGAAGACUAACUACUGCGAAAGCAUUUGCCAAGGAUGUUUUCAUUAAUCAAGAACGAAAGUUAGGGGAUCGAAGACGAUCAGAUACCGUCGUAGUCUUAACCAUAAACUAUGCCGACUAGGGAUCGGAUGAUGUUAAUUUUUUAAUGA